UACGUAGGGGGCGAGCGUUGUCCGGAUUUAUUGGGCGUAAAGAGCUCGUAGGCGGUUUGGUAAGUCGGGUGUGAAAUCUCCAGGCUCAACUUGGAGAGGUCAUUCGAUACUGCCAUGACUAGAGUCCGGUAGGGGAGUGUGGAAUACCUGGUGGAGCGGUGAAAUGCGCAGAUAUCAGGUGGAACACCCGUAGCGAAGGCGGCACUCUGGGCCGGAACUGACGCUGAGGAGCGAAAGCGUGGGGAGCGAACAGG
rnacentral:rRNA from 1 species